ACGAACGCUGGCGGCGUGCUUAACACAUGCAAGUCGAACGGAGUGCUCCGGAAAGAGAUUUCGGUCAAUGGAUGGAGUUACUUAGUGGCGGACGGGUGAGUAACGCGUGAGGAACCUGCCUUUCAGAGGGGGACAACAGCUGGAAACGGCUGCUAAUACCGCAUAAUACGCGGGUGUCGCAUGGCAUCUGCGUCAAAGAUUUAUCGCUGAGAGAUGGCCUCGCGUCUGAUUAGCUAGUUGGUGAGGUAACGGCCCACCAAGGCGACGAUCAGUAGCCGGACUGAGAGGUUGGCCGGCCACAUUGGGACUGAGAUACGGCCCAGACUCCUACGGGAGGCAGCAGUGGGGAAUAUUGGGCAAUGGGCGCAAGCCUGACCCAGCAACGCCGCGUGAAGGAAGAAGGCUUUCGGGUUGUAAACUUCUUUUAAGAGGGAAGAGCAGAAGACG
rnacentral:rRNA from 1 species